CAGUAGCCGCGGUAAUACGUAGGUGGCAAGCGUUGUCCGGAAUUAUUGGGCGUAAAGGGCUCGCAGGCGGUUUCUUAAGUCUGAUGUGAAAGCCCCCGGCUCAACCGGGGAGGGUCAUUGGAAACUAGGAAACUUGAGUGCAGAAGAGGAGAGUGGAAUUCCACGUGUAGCGGUGAAAUGCGUAGAGAUGUGGAGGAACACCAGUGGCGAAGGCGACUCUCUGGUCUGUAACUGACGCUGAGGAGCGAAAGCGUGGGGAGCGAACAGGAUUAGAUACCCCUGUAGUCCCUGUCUCUUAUAC
rnacentral:rRNA from 1 species